CUAGAAAUAAAUCCAAAUUAACUUCAAUUAAAUUUUAAUAUUUAAUAAGCUAUAAUUAUAUGCAAUCUAUGUAUUGCUGAAAUAAGUAUAACUUUAAUUUAAUGUUGCAGUGCAGAUAAUAAAACGUUUUAUAUUUAAUUUAGUAGAUUUAAUCUAUAUUUAAAAAUUAUCCGAAAUUAAGUCUAUUAAAAUAGACAUUUUGUGAAAAUUUGAGGUUUUUAAAAAAAAUUUAAUGGUCGUUUAACGUGUGUUUAGUAUUUUAAUCAAAAAUACCCUGAAAAACAAAAAACGGCCUAUGUUAUUCAAUUUUUGGUUAAAUAUUAUGAUUAUUACAUCAAAAUAGUUUCUUUUUUACUGUAGAAUAUAAAUUUUUUAGUUUCAAAAUUUUAAGUCGAAAAUUGUUAGCAUGGAUAUUAUAAUUGGCGUCAUUUAUGGUAUAUUUCUAACAGAUCUCAAGGUAUUUUUGGUUAAAAUACUAAAAACACGUUGAGUGCCCAGUAAAAUAUUUUUUAAAAAUCUCAAAUUUUCACAAAAUGUCUAUUUUAAUGUAAAUAAUAAUGUUAAAAUGGUUCUCCUUAACAUAUUGAUGAUCGACUUUUUUUGAUUAAGUUUCCCCCAUUUACGUGGAACGAGGGAAUUUUUUUCAAUUUUUGAGGGUAAUGUCUUCGACUAGAUACGAUUUGUGAUCUUUUGACGUAUCGUUGAAAGAAAUCCGUUCGGUGAGAGCUGAGAAAAAGUGGUAACAGACACAAAAAAAAAAAAAAAAAAAAAAAAAAAAAAAAAAAAAAAAAAAAAAAAAAAAAAAAAAAAAAAUAAUAAAAAAAAACACAUCUUAGUAAAACCAAUACCUUCUCAGCUUCGCAUCGAAGCUAAAAAGUAUAUAAUUGUAUACCUGUUUAAUGGACAUAUAGCUGUGGAAAAUAAUAACUAUUUAU